rnacentral:rRNA from 1 species
AAGUCGAACGCAGCAGCUUCGGCUGGCUGCGUGGCGAACGGCUGAGGAACACGUGGGUGACCUGCCCCAGAGUGGGGGAUACCCCGUCGAAAGACGGGAUAAUCCCGCAUACGCUCUACGGAGGAAAGCCCCUACGGGCGCUUUGGGAGGGGCCUGCGGCGGAUUAGGUAGUUGGUAGGGUAAUGGCCUACCAAGCCGAUGAUCCGUAGGGGGCGUGAGAGCGCGGCCCCCCACACUGGGACUGAGACACGGCCCAGACUCCUACGGGAGGCAGCAGUGAGGAAUAUUGCACAAUGGGCGCAAGCCUGAUGCAGCAACGCCGCGUGGAGGAUGAAGGCCUUCGGGUUGUAAACUCCUUUUCUGGGGGACGAG